rnacentral:rRNA from 1 species
GACGAACGCUGGCGGCGUGCCUAAUACAUGCAAGUAGAACGCUGAAGGAGGAGCUUGCUUCUCUGGAUGAGUUGCGAACGGGUGAGUAACGCGUAGGUAACCUGCCUGGUAGCGGGGGAUAACUAUUGGAAACGAUAGCUAAUACCGCAUAAGAGUAGAUGUUGCAUGACAUUUGCUUAAAAGGUGCAAUUGCAUCACUACCAGAUGGACCUGCGUUGUAUUAGCUAGUUGGUGAGGUAACGGCUCACCAAGGCGACGAUACAUAGCCGACCUGAGAGGGUGAUCGGGCACCACGGGACUGAGACACGGCCCAGACUCCUACGGGAGGCAGCAGUAGGGAAUCUUCGGCAAUGGAAGGAAGUCUGACCGAGCAACGCCGCGUGAGUGAAGAAGGUUUUCGGAUCGUAAAGAUCUGUUGUAAGAGAAGAACGAGUGUGAGAGUGGAAAGUUCACACUGUGACGGUAUCUUACCAGAAAGGGACGGCUAACUACGUG